UACAGAGGGUGCGAGCGUUAAUCGGAAUUACUGGGCGUAAAGCGUGCGCAGGCGGUUGGUUAAGUCUGAUGUGAAAGCCCCGGGCUCAACCUGGGAAUGGCAUUGGAAACUGGCUGGCUAGAGUGUGGCAGAGGGGGGUGGAAUUCCGCGUGUAGCAGUGAAAUGCGUAGAGAUGCGGAGGAACACCGAUGGCGAAGGCAGCCCCCUGGGCUGACACUGACGCUCAGGCACGAAAGCGUGGGGAGCAAACAGG
rnacentral:rRNA from 1 species